rnacentral:rRNA from 1 species
UACGUAGGUGGCAAGCGUUGUCCUGAUUUACUGGGCGUAAAGAGCGCGCAGGCGGUCGUUCAAGUCGGGUGUGAAAGCCCCCGGCUCAACUGGGGAGGGUCACUCGAUACUGCUCGACUCGAAGGCAGGAGAGGGUAGUGGAAUUCCCGGUGUAGUGGUGAAAUGCGUAGAUAUCGGGAGGAACACCAGUGGCGAAGGCGACUACCUGGCCUGUUCUUGACGCUGAGGCGCGAAAGCUAGGGGAGUAAACGGG